rnacentral:lncRNA from 1 species
ACUAGAACCUUCUCUUUAGAAUCAGUCUUUUAUUUAGCUCAUGGUUUCAACAUCAGUUCUCUCUCCUCGUCUUAGAGACUAGGGUUUUCUCUCCUUCAAUCUCCAUUUUCAUGGUUGUCUUUUAUCUUAACAUGGUAUCAGAGCGGAGAUCCGCAUAGCUCUCGACGAGUUCUGUCGAUUCAUCGGUCAAAAUUUUCGAUUUGCUCGAGUUUUGUUUUGUCAGCGACUGACAAUUCGUGUUUUUCUCUUGGACGAUUUUGGGGGUUUUUUCUCGGAAAAUCACUACGGAAGCUUGCUCUCCUUAGAUUAGCUGAAGCAGAACUGGUAGUAUCUUCCAAUUCCUCAAGAUUUCUUAUCGAUGUCAUAAGUUUUGUGCCCUAGCUGGAGAAUUUUUGGUAUUAUCUCUUGUAUUGCAUAUUGUAUCUAAGGUCGCUGUUAGAUGCAUGUAUACUCUUUCAAUUGCUUGUUGUCUGCACUGUGAAAACCGUUUAAUUAUUAGUUGAACGACAGUUUUGUUUGCUAAAAAUGAGUACUGACGCAUCCACAACCUCCUUACCUGUAUACUCAACCAUUAGUCAUUCUAUUGAUUCUUCCCAUCCCCUAUAUGUACAUCCAUAUGAUAACCCGGGAAGCCUACUUGUACAAGUACCUUUCAAUUGAACUAGUUAUGUAUCCUAGAAGAAAAAUAUUUUUAUUGCACUAUCUGCAAAGAACAAGGCUGGGAUGAUCAAUGGAAGAAUCUCCCAUCCGCCUCAUGAUUCCCCUCUCUCUAUGACCACCGGGUGAGAUGCAACAACAUAGUAUUUGCAUGGUUAAGUUAUUCUUUGUCUAAAGAUAUUGCUGACAGUGUCUUGCUUUGUGACACUGCAAGGAAAAUUUGUAAAGAUAUAGAUGAGAGGUAUGGGCAGUCUAAUGCCAGUAGGUACUAUCAAAUUCAGAGAGAGAUUGUUGGUGUCUCCCAAAAGUCUUAUCAUAUUGCUAGUUACUAUACUAAACUUAGGAAGUUAUAGGAUGAGUUAAAGACUGCUUCUUUUGGUCCAUCUUGCACAUAUGGGGUUGAACCACAAUGUAGUGAAGGGCAAAAACUCAUCCACUUUCUAGUUGGACUCAAUGACACAUAUUCCAAUAUCAGAAGCAACAUCUUAAUGAUGAUUCAUGUUCCACUCUCUAGGAAAGGCUUAUUCUAUGUUCCUUAAUGAUGAAAAUCAAAGAGAACUUCAGUCAUUAGGGGCCAACUUCCUCUCAGAGUCUACCUCCUUCUUUGUCAAGUCCUCUCCUGCUCCACCUUCUGCUAUUUCUCAUCCUAAUAAUAAGAGAAAAUACUAUGUAUAAAUUAAGUUGUUAUCUUUGAAUUUUAAUACUAUUUUUUUUUGUAGGAAAUAAUUGAAGUAAUGGACAAAGAAGAAACUUGGCAGCAAAAGGUCAAUUUUCACAUAUUAUAAGAGAGACCAACACAAACAAAAUGGAAGAAAAGGAAAAAGAAAAGAAGAUCAAAAGCUGUAAAGGUUUGGAAGAAAGAAAAGGAAAUCACACAUUGUAGGUACUCUAAAACAAGUUGGCAACUAGCUAUGGAAAGGAAAAUAAAGUUAACAUAACCAAUUUGAGUUUAAUUUCACAACAAAAAAUUACUACUUGCCAACUUGGUGCAAAGUGCCUUGAAAUUUGCCAAAUCUAGAUGAAAUCGGUUAUGAAGCCAAGCAACUUGCAACAUAAAAUUUGCUAAAUCUAGAUGAAAUCCGUUAUGAAGCCAAGCAACUUACAACAUGAAAUCUUCCAAAUCUAAAGAUCACAUGGCUUUGAAACUAUAAAUAGGUUCAUUGGGAGCUGCUCAAGAGAAAAACGGAGAGGAGAAUAAGCUAGAAAUACAUUUGAAAUCUCUCUUUCUUCAAGUCUUUUUCUUUCUUUCUUAUUGAGUUAUCAAGUGUAGGAAAUAAUUCUAGUUCUUCUUUUUAAUUAAAUAGGAGGAACUAUUCUUCUUGAAUAUUUCUUUCUAUUUUCUUAUUUAAUGGAUAAGGAUAUUUUCUUUGUUAGUACUAAUUCCAGUAUGGAGUAACUUUUCUUGUGUUGGGAGAAAGAUGAUCUUAAUAUUUUUAUAUAAUAG